UUAUUACUCCCUCCGUCCCAAAAUUCUUGUCUUAGAUUUGUCUAGAUACGGAUGUAUCUAAUACUAAAACGUGACUUGAUACAUCCGUAUUUAGACAAAUCUAAGACAAGAAUUUUGGGACGGAGGGAGUACUUG
rnacentral:pre_miRNA from 1 species